CGCAGCAAGACGGAAAGACCCCGUGGACCUUUACUACAGCUUAGCACUGCUAAUGGGAAUGCCAUGCGCAGGAUAGGUGGGAGGCUUUGAAGCAGACACUUUGGUGUCUGUGGAGCCAUCCUUGAGAUACCACCCUUGGCGUUUUUGUUAGCUAACUGGCUAGAGUUAUCCUCUAGCAGGACAAUGCUUGGUGGGUAGUUUGACUGGGGCGGUCGCCUCCUAAAAAGUAACGGAGGCUUACAAAGGUUAGCUCAUGGCGGUUGGAAAUCGCCAGUUGAGUGUAAUGGCACAAGCUAGCUUAACUGCAAGAGAGACAACUCAAGCAGAGACGAAAGUCGGUCAUAGUGAUCCGGUGGUUCUCGUGUGGAAGAGCCAUCGCUCAAAGGAUAAAAGGUACCCCGGGGAUAACAGGCUGAUCUCCCCCAAGAGCUCACAUCGACGGGGAGGUUUGGCACCUCGAUGUCGGCUCAUCGCAUCCUGGGGCUGGAGCAGGUCCCAAGGGUAUGGCUGUUCGCCAUUUAAAGCGGUACGCGAGCUGGGUUCAGAACGUCGUGAGACAGUUCGGUCCCUAUCUGCUGUGGGCGUAGGAAAGCUGAGGAGAGCUGUCCCUAGUACGAGAGGACCGGGAUGGACAUGCCACUGGUGCACCAGUUGUUCUGCCAAGAGCACCGCUGGGUAGCUACGCAUGGUUGUGAUAAGAGCUGAAAGCAUCUAAGCUCGAAGCCAACUCCAAGAUGAGCUUUCCCUGAAGCUCGCAUGAAGACUACAUGUUUGAUAGGGUGGGUGUGUAAGUGCAGUAAUGCAUUCAGCUAACCACUACUAAUAGAGCGUUUGGCUUGUUUGG
rnacentral:ncRNA from 1 species